rnacentral:rRNA from 1 species
UACGUAGGAUGCAAGCGUUGUCCGGAUUUACUGGGCGUAAAGCGCGCGCAGGCGGCACUCUAAGUACGUCGUGAAAUAUCCCGGCUCAACCGGGAGGGUGCGAUGUAGACUAGGGAGCUAGAGGUCGGUAGGGGAGACUGGAAUUCCUGGUGUAGCGGUGAAAUGCGCAGAUAUCAGGAGGAACACCGGUGGCGAAGGCGGGUCUCUGGGACGGUACUGACGCUGAGACGCGAAAGCGUGGGGAGCGAACAGG